UCCGUUGGUGAACCAGCGGAGGGAUCAUUACCGAGUUUACAACUCCCAAACCCCUGUGAACAUACCAAUUGUUGCCUCGGCGGAUCAGCCCGCUCCCGGUAAAACGGGACGGCCCGCCAGAGGACCCCUAAACUCUGUUUCUAUAUGUAACUUCUGAGUAAAACCAUAAAUAAAUCAAAACUUUCAACAACGGAUCUCUUGGUUCUGGCAUCGAUGAAGAACGCAGCAAAAUGCGAUAAGUAAUGUGAAUUGCAGAAUUCAGUGAAUCAUCGAAUCUUUGAACGCACAUUGCGCCCGCCAGUAUUCUGGCGGGCAUGCCUGUUCGAGCGUCAUUUCAACCCUCAAGCCCAGCUUGGUGUUGGGACUCGCGAGUCAAAUCGCGUUCCCCAAAUUGAUUGGCGGUCACGUCGAGCUUCCAUAGCGUAGUAGUAAAACCCUCGUUACUGGUAAUCGUCGCGGCCACGCCGUUAAACCCCAACUUCUGAAUGUUGACCUCGGAUCAGGUAGGAAUACCCGCUGAACUUAAGCAUAUCAAUAAGCGGAGGA
rnacentral:rRNA from 2 species